AUAUUUUAAAUAGCUCAGUUGGUGGACCAUGAGACUCUUAAUGUCAGGGUCGUGGGUUUGAGCCCCAGGCAGAAGAUU